CGUUAACUUCCUCCUCGGCUUCCCUUCUCGCCCUCAGCGGUUCGGGGUUAGCUCUGAGGGGAGUGUGGGAGGAGGGCUCUGACCGAGGACUCCGACCUCAGAGGGCCUCGGAAGCCGGUCCCAUCCUGUACCGUCGCGGCCACCGACCACUGCCUGCCCCUCCUACCAGCUGGCGGUCUUUCCUGAGGAAUGCCUUUGGAAAUGGCCAGGGCACAAAGGGGCUCCUGUGUGCCCAGCGCUAGAGGGCUCGGCCUCCCCCUCCAAACUCGGGGCUCAGCCUCAGACACUGUGGUGACAGGCAGCUCCGGAGCGCCUUCCCGGCCGCGAGGACCCCGGGGGCUCGCAGAAGGACCCAGACUUGCGUGGCGAGCAGCUCCACGUGACCACCAGGGGUCAGCCGAAGAAUAGGAGUGGCCGGAGCACGGCGGGAGCGCGGCGUGGCGUCGGCAGGCGCAGGGCCGCGCGCCGGGCCAGGUGGGCCAGGACCUUCCCCGAGAGGUGCGCGGUCGGCGGGCGACCGCCCUCGUUUCAGGUCAGCAGACUACAUCUCCCAGGAAGCACUGCUGCAGCACGGACCCGUAGUACCAGCGGGGCUUAAGAUAGCCCGAAACCUGUAGCCCGUCAGCUUCCCCAACUUUCCAUCUACGCAAUUAACCAGGAAACCAAGCCGCACGUCCUAAAAGAAUCCAGCGUUAGGGUCCUCGGCAGCCACAAGGAAGACCUAACAUCGUCCAGGAAAGACACACUUCUAUUUCUCCAAUAUCCUCGACCUUGAACUCCAGAGCUUCACCUUCAUUUCUAUGUGGGAACUUGAAAAGUUUUUGUUUUUGGUUUUUUUCCCAGUUGUUAUAGAAAACCAACACAAAGAAAGAAGAGGAGGGCUGAAGUUAGAGCAUCCCAUACUCGCAGGUCUCUAAUGACAUAGAUGACAGCCAAUAAUAUUUUUGAUUUUAUUUUAUAAAACAUGCAGUUUAAAACAAAAUUUUAAAAAAUAACAAAACUUGGGACAGGAGAGUGGAUGGAAGACAGAUGCUUCUCAGCUGUCAGCAGGAGUGAAGCCAGCAGCCAAGCUUUGUCUAGGACCCAAAGGGCCUUUUGGCAAUGAUGGUGUUGGCAACACUGGUUUGCUAGGGCCACCGACGCUCUAUGUCCUGGCCCCUCCAGGCAUCCCUCAAACAGUCAGAGACGUGAGCUGUCUUAAGUUACUGUUGUAAGCCUGUCACUGUCCAGGACUUCAGUCCUUUCCUUAGCCAACUAGGAACCAAGAGUACUGGUUCUCGGAGUGGGUUGUUUGUUUGCCUGGAUAUUAAUUACCCAGGAUAUUUAUUGAGAAUACAAAUUACUUUCCAUUUGGGUCAAUCCUAGACUCUUUUUCUGGCCUGCUAUUUUGCAAAGGAUGAAAAAGGAAUCUGGCUCCUCUUCCCUUUGCAACAACUCUGCUGCAUUCCAGUUCUAUUAAUAGCACCAUCUGUAGACCCUGAGCAGGUCCAGUUCUGGAAGCAGAUAAGGUAGAGCCAACUUGGGAAGCCAUCUCCUGGUUCUGGGGCCACAGAACUUCCACAGAAGGGAGAGGGCGUAGUUUGCUGGGAGAAGGUGAGGUCAAAGCGCCAACACUGAAGAGAAGACAGCUGCAUCUGUCAGACAAAACCAAGAGCGUUGACUUUUAAGUUGUUCAACAACCUGUAUCUCAUCGCCAUCAGUCCAAUUGCAAACAUCCAGCCCUUUGUUCUUGGUCAUCUUCAUGCGAAUGGAGAAAGGAAGCCAGACGUUCUUCAAUUCCUCAACGGAGGAACACAUCAGCAUACCCUCUGGACUCCCUAGUUCUUUCCUAUCAGGACAAGAGAAUUAGAAAUUUGUUCUGAAAUCUAGCCAGUGACAAGAGGAGCCACAGGGUAGCUCAAUCCUUUGACUGCACCCCCAAGUCAGUACCUACCAAUCAGCCAAAGUAAACUCUUUGUUUUUGGA